GUGCCAGCCGCCGCGGUAAUACGUAGGUGGCAAGCGUUGUCCGGAUUUACUGGGCGUAAAGGAUGUGUAGGCGGAUAUUUAAGUGAGAUGUGAAAUCCCCGGGCUUAACUUGGGGGCUUCAUUUCAAACUGGAUGUCUAGAGUGCAGGAGAGGAAAGCAGAAUUCCUAGUGUAGCGGUGUAAUGCGUAGAGAUUAAGAAGAAAACCAGUGGGGAAGGAGGCUUGCUGGACUGUAACUGACGCUGAGGCAUGA
rnacentral:rRNA from 1 species